AUUGACGGACUGAAGGCUCUUUCUCGAUUCCGUGGAAAGUGGUGCAUGGCCGUUUUUGGUUGGUGGAUCGAUCCGUCUGGUUAAUUCCGUUAACGAACGAGACCUCGGCACUCCGAAUAGCGCGGCGGACGUCGCGGCCUCCGGGCCGUCUUCCGCACGAGCUUCUUAGAGGGACCGUCCCCCGCCGGGGAAGGAGGUGCGAGGCAACGACAGGUCUGUGAUGCCCUUAGAUGUUCUGGGCCGCACGCGCAUUACACUGACGCGUCCAACGGGUGACUCCCGACCGAGGGCCGGGGAAUCCGCAAGGCGCGUCGUGAUGGGGAUUGAACGUUGCAAUUGUUGUUCACGAACGAGGAAUUCCUAGUAGGCGCGGGUCAUCAACCCGCGCCGAUUACGUCCCUGCCCUUUGUACACACC
rnacentral:rRNA from 1 species